UGAGGAACAUGACCUUCGGCGGGGGAUAGCCGGCCCAACGGCCGGGUAAUACCGCGUACGACCACUCGGGGACAUCCCUAGGUGGUGAAAGCAGCAAUGCGCCGAUGGAGUGCCUCGCGGCCUAUCAGCUAGUUGGUGAGGUAACGCUCACCAAGGCGACGACGGGUAGCUGGUCUGAGAGGAUGGCCAGCCACAUUGGGACUGAGACACGGCCCAGACUCCGUACGGGAGCAG
rnacentral:rRNA from 1 species